rnacentral:lncRNA from 1 species
GGAGGCGUAGGGAACGCCCUCGGCUGUCGCGCCAAGCGCCAGUCCGCGCAGCGCCUGCCAGGCGGGCUGCCCAAAGCGACCCCGAUAGUGCGCGCGAAGAAAUUGAUCUGUGUACUGCGGCGCCGCCUUGGCCUCCUUGCCCACCUGGCCCACAGCAACCCAGUUCUCACAGUCCUGCACAGACUCCUGUUCUCUUUCUCCCUUGUAUUUCCUCUGGCUUGUUGGUGUUUGCAAGGCACUUGCAGGACCCAGAUCACUCUUUCAGGUGCUCAACAGCAAAUCAAACAGAGUAAUUAGGGCCCAAGGGUGGGAACCAAUAGGAAUACAUCUAUGAGGCAACAUGUCCAUGUGGCAAACUGCAUGCUCGGCAGAUGUAUGUGAGCUCACCAUGGGAUGGGCGCCAGCAGGCCUUCCAGGACCAGUGCCCCUGAUGGGCUUGCCAGGCCUCUGCCCCAGCUUCCCCCCUCGCCCCGCCUGCUUGGGGAUUCUACAGGCCACAUCAGAAUAAUCAACCUGGUCACCACCAUGUUGCCGGACAGUGGACUGCCACUUGCCGACAAAUGUCAUCCGCGUGCGCUGCGUUUUGGAGGCUUGUACUGGAUGUGAGCUGUGCUGCUCGGGUGAAGAUGAUGGUAUUUGUGCCCAUGUCCCUCUCUCUCACUACUCAAAUGACUGUGGUGCCCCUUUGACCAGGGCUUGCCUUUUGCACACACCUGCUGCAUGCUGGAAUAUGUGACCCUACCAGGAGGUCAUGUGGUUACUAAGGGCCAGAGAAUGACACAUGUGAGGAUGCACAAUCUUCACUCACCUCCCUCGCCGCUUCUCUGGCAGCAGCUGCUGCGGUGCAGCAGGCUGAGAGG